GGCCCUAUCGGAUAGUGGUUAGUCCCCCUGGUUCUCAGCCAGGAGACUGGGGUUCGAUUCCCCAUAGGGCUGCCA
rnacentral:tRNA from 1 species